rnacentral:rRNA from 1 species
AUUGAACGCUGGCGGCAGGCUUAACACAUGCAAGUCGAGCGAGCGGCGGACGGGUGAGUAAUGUCUGGGAAACUGCCUGAUGGAGGGGGAUAACUACUGGAAACGGUAGCUAAUACCGCAUACCAUCAGAUGUGCCCAGAUGGGAUUAGCUAGUAGGUGGGGUAAUGGCUCACCUAGGCGACGAUCCCUAGCUGGUCUGAGAGGAUGACCACGCACACUGGGACUGAGAAACGGUCCCAACUCCUACGGGAGGCAACAGUGGGGAAUAUUGCACAAUGGGCGCAAGCCCUGUGCAACCAUGCCGCGUGUGAGAAGAAGGCCUUCGGGUUGUAAAGCACUUUCAGGGAGGGGGCGGGACUCGCAGAAGAAGCACCGGCUAACUCCGUGCCAGCAGGCGCGGUAAUUC